rnacentral:rRNA from 1 species
AUACGUAGGUGGCAAGCGUUGUCCGGAUUUAUUGGGCGUAAAGCGAGCGCAGGCGGUUUCUUAAGUCUGAUGUGAAAGCCCCCGGCUCAACCGGGGAGGGUCAUUGGAAACUGGGAGACUUGAGUGCAGAAGAGGAGAGUGUAAUUCCAUGUGUAGCGGUGAAAUGCGUAGAUAUAUGGAGGAACACCAGUGGCGAAGGCGACUCUCAGGUCUGUAACGGACGCUGAGGCUCGAAAGCGUGGGGAGCAAACAGGAUUAUAUCCCCUGGUAGUCCACGCCGUAAACGAUGAGUGCUAAGUGUUGGAGGGUUUCCGCCCUUCAGUGCUGCAGCUAACGCAUUAAGCUCUCCGCCUGGGGAGUACGACCGCAAGGUUGAAACUCAAAUGAAUUGGCGGGG